GUGCCAGACUCCUACGGGAGGCAGCAGUGGGGGAUAUUGCACAAUGGGGGAAACCCUGAUGCAGCGACGCCGCGUGUGGGAAGACGGUCCUCUGGAUUGUAAACCACUGUCCCCAGGGACGAAAAUGACGGUACCUGGGGAGGAAGCUCCGGCUAACUACGUGCCAGCAGCCGCGGUAAUACGUAGGGAGCGAGCGUUAUCCGGAUUUACUGGGUGUAAAGGGAGCGUAGACGGCGAUGCAAGCCAGAUGUGAAAGCCCGGGGCGCAACCCCGGGACUGCAUUUGGAACUGUGUGGCUGGAGUGUCGGAGAGGCAGGCGGAAUUCCUAGUGUAGCGGUGAAAUGCGUAGAUAUUAGGAGGAACACCAGUGGCGAAGGCGGCUUACUGGACUGUAACUGACGUUGAGGCUCGAAAGCGUGGGGAGCAAACAGGAUUAGAUACCCUAGUACCA
rnacentral:rRNA from 1 species